AUUGAACGCUGGCGGCAGGCCUAACACAUGCAAGUCGAUCGGAAGAAGGGGGUUUGCCCCUGGAUCCAGCGGCGGACGGGUGAGUAAUGCUUAGGAAUCUGCCUUGCAGUGGGGGAUAACGUCCGGAAACGAGUGCUAAUACCGCAUACGUCUUGCGGGAGACAGUUGGGGAUCUUCGGACCUCACGCCAUCAGAUGAGCUUAGGUAGGAUUAGCCAGUUGGUGGGGUAAACGCCUACCAAGGCGGCGAUCCGUAACUGGCCAGAGAGGAUGAUCAGGCCGGCUGGAACUGAGACACGGUCAAGAGUCCUACGGGAGGCAGCAGUGGGGAAUAUUGGACGAUGGGCGAAAGCCUGAUCCAGCCAUGCCGCGUGUGUGAAGAAGGUCUUCGGAUUGUAAAGAACUUUAAGUUGGGAGGAAGGGCAGUAAGUUAAGACCUUGCUGUUGUGACGGUACCAACAGAAUAAGCGCCGGCUAACUUCGUG
rnacentral:rRNA from 1 species